rnacentral:tRNA from 1 species
GGAAUGUGGCUCAGUGGUAGCGCGAUCGCCUAGCAUGCGUGAGGCACUGGGUUUGAUUCUCAGCACCA